UCGAGAAUCUUCGGCAAUGAGCGCAAGCUUGACCGAGCGACGCCGCGUGCGGGAUGAAGGCCUUCGGGUUGUAAACCGCUUUGGUCCGAAAGAAAGGGUAAAACUUGAUCGAUCGGAGAAACAAGGACGGGCUAAGUUCGUGCCAGCAGCCGCGGUAAGACGAACCGUCCAAACGUUAUUCGGAAUCACUGGGCUUAAAGGGCGCGUAGGCGGCCGAGCGGGUCGUGGGUGAAAUCCCCCAGCUUAACUGGGGAACUGCUUACGAUACCACUGCGGCUCGAGGAAGGAAGGGGCAAUGGGAACUGUCGGUGGAGCGGUGAAAUGCGUUGAUAUCGACAGGAACGCCUGUGGCGAAAGCGCAUUGCUGGUCCUUUUCUGACGCUGAGGCGCGAAAGCCAGG
rnacentral:rRNA from 1 species